UCUAUAGGAGUCUUCAUCAGUGUACACUCUGCAAAAACAUGGCUGAUAGCAAAGAGAUUGUAUCCAGCAGUGUUUCCUCAUGGACUCCAGAGUUCAUCCGGGAGCUUCUUCCAGCUGCGGAGCGAACGGCUCUUCGCUAUCAUCUCUCUUACCUGUGUCUGGGUGGUUUCCCAAAGCUGGAGCGCCUGAUCAGAGAAAGAGCUCUUGAAACACAGCUUCUGUUUAAAUCCUCUGUGGUGGUUCUGCUGGAGUGUGUUAUCACGAGUUCCACCCUGGUUUUCUCCCUGCUUCCGUCGCUGUUGAUGGCUGUUGAACACAAUGAACCCUCUCUGGCUGUGAAGUACCUGGAUGAAAUCAGAGCAAAGAUUAAUGACAUCAUUAUAGCUGUGGAAGACAUUGUGAAGAGGUAUGAUGAACAUAACCAAAGUGUAGCGUCAUGCACCAGUGAUGUGUUUCAAGAAAAGACGGAGACAGAAAAACAACUAACUCAAACAACGGAGGAAAUUAAGAGUCUGGAGGAGGCCGUGGCCAACCUUGAGGAGGAGCUGAGAAAAAGGGCUGAAAACAUAAAUGAAAUACAGAAAACAAUUGAAGAAAAAAACAAUGAGCUGCAGAAUCGCAUCCGAGAUGCUUCUAGCAAAAACAUUGGCUUUGGUAUCCUGACUGCCUUGGUGCCAUUUACUGGAGCCAUUGUUAGCUUUAUUGACGAUGCUGUGACUGGCCCUGGUGAUGCUGCUCAAACUCAAGCUCUCAACGCCGAACUGUCCCGUCUCAUGUCUGAAAAGAGCAGUCUGCAAAAACAAGAGUCCUCAAUCCAAGUCAAACUGACUGAUCUUCAGAUGCAGCUGGCUAAUUGCAAAAUACGGCUGGGUGUGAUUCCCAGUCCCGUUCACCUUGUAGAAGUCCAGAAGUGUCUUUCUCAAAUCCAGCAGAUUCUGGUUCAGCUUCAGAAGUUCUGGGAGAAAGUGGGAUCUCUGCUAGAUACGCUGAAGGAGAAGACCUUUGUUAAUGAGGAUCUCAUUGAGCACCUGAGUGAUCUGAAGCAGGAGUUUGUGACCUCUAUUGAAGAAGCAGAAAAGUGCUGGCAGAGAUUUGGUGAAUGCUGUCAGAGAGCACAAGUCAUCUUCAGUGUUCAGUCUAAAGAUGCAUACAAGUUCCUGGAGAUGAAUCCGUCCUCACUUUCGAAGGAUGAAUGGGACGAGCAGCACAAGUCUAUCAUAGAGAAGCUGAAUCAGAUCAGCCCUCAGGAGAUGCCUAUGAUCUGAGUGAAACACAGAAAACUGAUGCUUCCUUCAUACUUAAUGACAUGCAAUGCUUACAGAUUCUCUCUGACAUUUUUGUAAUACUUUGUAACGUAACAGAACUUUUAAAACAGCAGUAAAAAAAUAUUCUGAAGGAUCUAAGGAUCCUGCUUUAAGACAGCGUCCAUACAUUUGUGUUGUGUUUAAUUGUCUUUCUAUUCAUUUAUUCUUCAAACAUUUAAUCAUAUAAUCAUUUAUAAUAACCAUUUAUAUACUCAUUUAUUUGAUUCAUUCAUUGAUUCGUCAUUUAUAUUCCUUUUUUCCUAGCCUAUUGCGGUUUAGUUUUAUAACUGGGUGGUUUCAAGGGAUAUUUGUCUCCAUGAAUAAGAGAUAAGAGAAUGUCUUUGUUGUUGUGAAGCAGUAGUAUUCCAUUGCUAUGGUUUGUGGUAUUACAUACUUGUUGGAUUUAAACAUAUGCAACUGAGAUUAUUCAAUAAACUCUGCUCCUUUUUUAUCA
ensembl:lncRNA